UCCAGACACUCAAAACUACUCUCCUGCGCUCCGCUGCACCCCACCCUAUAUAUAAUAAGUCUUAACUUACACUAUCUGAUUUUGACUCUCUCUACCUUCCGCCUCCAAUCCAUAAUCCCUCUCUCUCUUUUUCUCACAGGCAGGCACUCAACCCCAGUGUUAAUGGAGGAGUUAUUUCAGUACAUGAAGACUCUCCGCUCUCAGAUCAACGAUGUGGCGGAUCAAGCAGCCAAGUUAUCGGUUGAAGAGCAUAUGCUGUUUACCACUGUUGAGACGCUCCAAAAGGAUCUCGAUUUAGUGAAGAAUGAAACUAGGCAAGUGAAAGAGGAAACUGAUCAGAUGACCAAAGCUAAGGGAAAGAUCUAUUCACAGAUUUUGCAAAACCAGAGGAAAAUUGCUUCGUUGGAAUCUGAUUCUUCCACCCUUAGUCAGACGUUGAAGCUUAUGCAACAAGAAAAACUAUGCCUGUCAGCAAAACUUGUAGAUCAAAGCACAUAUUAUGAGAAGGUUGGUCAGGAUAUCAGUGCACAACUAACAGAACACCAGGAGUGGAUCAAUGCACAGGAUUUUGGCUCACGACCCAGAGAGGUAAAUGAGAAAGCAGGAGGAACAAAAGAGUUCCCGAAUGAUGUAGGUCAAAGUUUGACGAAGGAUUUUCAAGCUGCUCAAGCCAACUUUGGUAAGAUGGAAAAGCUAAAAUCAGAUCUUGCUUUGAAGAAUACUAAGCUGAGGCAGUCUGUUGAGCUAGUGAAGACUAAAAUGACUGAAUUUAAGGUGGUCUCUACAUUUUUUUUUCUUGUCUGCUAUUUGAUAUGUAUCUACUUGGUGGACUUUAACAUGCUUUGGUUAGUAUACCUUUUCAGGCAUACCAAACAGACACAAAUACAAAAAGACAAAAAUAAAAAAGAAAAAAGGAAGGAACAUAGUCUGCUGUUGCCAAAAAGUAUUUUCAUUAUUCACUACAUAAAGCAGCAAAUGCCAGGAAAUUCAGAGGAGAUAAUUAACUGUUUAGGCAUCCAUCUUUUAGAUGGUAGAAUGAUUGAAACAUUCCGAGUCUGAUAAUAGUUUUAUAUGUUUCUAAUAUAUAAUGAUGUUGGCUCGAGUGACUGCAGUCGGAACUUAGGGACAUGGAUGAGAAAAGCUUGGAAGAGGACCUUCAAGCACUCUUAUCAGACAAAUCUGGAGAAGCUGAGUAUGUGCAGUCUCUGCAACUCCAGAUUACGAGAGUGAAGGAGAUCUCACACAUAGUUAGGUGCUCUUG